rnacentral:rRNA from 1 species
UACGGGGGGGGCAAGCGUUGUUCGGAUUCAUUGGGCGUAAAGGGUGCGUAGGUGGCGGGGUAAGUCAGGUGUGAAAUUUCGGAGCUCAACUCCGAAACUGCAUUUGAUACUGCCUUGCUUGAGGACUGGAGAGGAGACUGGAAUUCACGGUGUAGCAGUGAAAUGCGUAGAUAUCGUGAGGAAGACCAGUGGCGAAGGCGGGUCUCUGGACAGUUCCUGACACUGAGGCACGAAGGCCAGGGGAGCAAACGGG